rnacentral:rRNA from 1 species
AACGAACGCUGGCGGCAGGCUUAACACAUGCAAGUCGAACGCCCCGCAAGGGGAGUGGCAGACGGGUGAGUAACGCGUGGGAACAUACCCUUUUCUACGGAAUAGCUCUGGGAAACUGGAAUUAAUACCGUAUACGCCCUACGGGGGAAAGAUUUAUCGGGGCAGGAUUGGCCCGCGUUGGAUUAGCUAGUUGGUGGGGUAAAGGCCUACCAAGGCGACGAUCCAUAGCUGGUCUGAGAGGAUGAUUAGCCACAUUGGGACUGAGACACGGCCCAAACUCCUACGGGAGGCAGCAGUGGGGAAUAUUGGACAAUGGGCGCAAGCCUGAUCCAGCCAUGCCGCGUGAGUGAUGAAGGCCUUAGGGUUGUAAAGCUCUUUCACCGAUGAAGAUAAUUACGGUAGUCGGAGAGGAAGCCCCGGCUAACUUCGUGCCAGCCGCCGCGGUAAGAC